UACGUAGGGUGCAAGCGUUAAUCGGAAUUACUGGGCGUAAAGCGUGCGCAGGCGGUUAUAUAAGACAGAUGUGAAAUCCCGGGCCAACCUGGACUGCAUUGUGACUGUAUAGCUAGAGUACGGUAGAGGGGAGUGGAAUUCCGCGUGUAGCAGUGAAAUGCGUAGAUAUGCGGAGGAACACCGAUGGCGAAGGCAAUCCCCUGGACCUGUACUGACGCUCAUGCACGAAAGCGUGGGGAGCAAACAGGAUUAGAACCACC
rnacentral:rRNA from 1 species